UAAAGAUAAGAAGACAAUUUUAACCUCUAAAUAUCUCACAUCCCUCAUCCCUCAGAUCGUAGCUAACUCCACCCACGUCGUCACCUUCAUCGAGCUGCCGCUGAAACCCACCGGAUGGACCAACUGGACCAUCAACCCCGCCGGCACCGGCAAUGGCCACUGGUUGUCGUCUUCACCCGGCCGGGUUCCACUACGUCAACUCGCGCCUCUAGUCCUUGCACGAGCUCGAUAGCCUCCUCGCCGGCGCUCCGAUCAACUCUCUCUCUCUCUCUCUCUCUCUCUCAUUUGGUUAUAGUUUAUUUGAAAUUUGUGCUUCUUUGUGCAGUACUGCAGUUACGAGGGAGGAGGUGAAGGGAAAUUUCAUUUUGUUAUUACCAGGUUUGAGAUCUCUGGUAUAGUGGUGCUUCAAAUUCGAAAAUAUGCUUUGAUAGUUCUUGAUUUUUCAGGGGUAGAAUUUGGAUGCAGGCUGGUUUCAGAAGCAACCCUGCAACCAAUGACUGGAUUCUCAAGACGGAUGAAGAUCAAUCUGGUAUGGGUUUAGAUUAAUUGUUAGUGACUGUAACUAAUAGUAAUUAAGCAUGUAAUGGACAUAUCGAAGAAGUGGGAAUGUUCCAUAUUUUAAUAGUACCAUGUUUCUUUCUUCUAUAUGAUGAUCACCAGGUCUUCGUUUCCUCAAAGCUAGCCAAAUGGAAGUGAAACUGAGAGUUGUGCAUUGCUCAUAAAAACAUUUCAGCUUUUGCUUCCAGGGCGGAAGUAGUUUUUGAGGAACUUAAGAAGAGCUGUAAGGUAGCACAGGAAGGGCGAGUCCAUCACCACGGUCGCCUACUUGGAUUCGGCCGGAAUGGAAUCAUACCCUUGCCACGACAUUCAGUUCCUUGAUUUCGAGGGUUUCUCUAGUUUCCAGUAAUGCCCUCUUCAGGUUAUCAGUAGAAGAGAUUGUUUUUUAUAGCAAUCAUGAGUUCGAGCAGUGGAAUGAGAACCGACCUGUGCCAAGGUCUUGAUGUGUUCAGAAGCACCACUAUGAACAGGCGACGCAGGGCAUUGCAUAUAUAUAGGAGUGGUCUACUUGGUGAUGAUCACAGCUUCGCCCAAUCUAGAGGUUCACGAGCUGGAUGAGCUACCGGAGCAGUGGCGGAGGUUCAAGCUGGCUUGGCUUUGUAAGGAGCUGCCGUCGCAUAAUUCCGGGGCUUUGAUUCAGAUUCUCAAUGCCCAGAAGAAGUGGAUGAGGCAAGAGGAUGCCAAGAACUCUGGGAGUGCUUUCUAGUGGAACAGAAAUAGCCGUGAAAAGACUGAGCAAAAAUUCUGGCCAGGGAUGAAGAGUUCAAGAAUGAAGUUGUGCUGAUUGCAAAACUUCAACACAGGAACCUUGUGAGAAUCUUAGGCUAUUGCGUUCAAGAUGAAGAGAAGAUGCGAAUCUAUGAAUACCUGCCUAACAAAAGUCUGGACUCGUUCAUAUUCAGUAUGUCUUCCACUUGCUGCAGUACCAUAAAUUAAGUUAAAGCAAGCAAGAAAGUUAUAUAAUCUAAAAACAUAUUCCAGAUGAAAUGAAAAGGACAUCUCUGGAUUGGACAAGACGCUUGGAGAUUAUCUUUGGCAUUGCUAGAGGGAUCUUAUAUCUUCAUCAAGAUUCGAGAUUAAGAAUCAUCCACAGAGACCUAAAGGCCAACAAUAUUCUACUGGAUUAUGAUAUGGACCCCAAAAUUGCAGAUUUUGGUAUGGCUAGAAUAUUCGGGCAAACGAAAUUGAAGCAAAUACAAAUCGCGUAGUUGGAACAUAGUAAGUUUCCUCCAAUUUGAUCGAUAUCAUACUUAAUUUUCAGUCCUAAUUAGUCAUGUGUUAUUUCAUUUCCUCCAAGUUAUGACCACAAGCUAAAUGAAUGUAAUCAAUUUGAAAACACAACCUCAACAAGUACACAAUCCAAAGACAACAAAUUUGGUUAACUAUAUAAUGAAAGAAGUUUACUUAAUAAUCACUUUU